AACGAACGCUGGCGGCAUGCCUAACACAUGCAAGUCGAACGAGACCUUCGGGUCUAGUGGCGCACGGGUGCGUAACGCGUGGGAACCUGCCUUUAGGUUCGGAAUAACUCAGAGAAAUUUGAGCUAAUACCGGGUGAUGUCUUCGGACCAAAGAUUUAUCGCCUUUAGAUGGGCCCGCGUUGGAUUAGCUAGUUGGUGGGGUAAAGGCCUACCAAGGCGACGAUCCAUAGCUGGUCUGAGAGGAUGAUCAGCCACACUGGGACUGAGACACGGCCCAGACUCCUACGGGCGGCAGCAGUUGGGAAUAUUGGACAAUGGGCGAAAGCCUGAUCCAGCAAUGCCGCGUGAGUGAUGAAGGCCUUAGGGUUGUAAAGCUCUUUUACCCGAGAUGAUAAUGACAGUAUCGGGAGAAUAAGCUCCGGCUAACUCCGUG
rnacentral:rRNA from 1 species